UUUUUUGGCGAUAAAAAAAAUUUAGUCGCCAAAGUAAAAACGACGUCGUUUUGUACCUGGAAAACCAAAAAUAAAAAUAAAAAUAAAAGAAGGCCCUGAUCUCCUCUGCCUCCUACUCUCCCUCUCUCUGUGUUCUCUCUCUCAAUCGACUUGCAAUUGCUCAAGAAUUGCAGCCAAUUCCAGUCCAGAUUCCAACAUUUCUUCCUCAAUCUUAUCUCUCUCUCUCUGUCUCUCUCUCCUCAAUUCCCUGUCGCAGACACAACCCCGAACCCCCUAUUAUUGUCUUCAUUUUCUCUCUUCCUCACUCCCUCUCUCCACCAUCCCAAUCUUCAUCAACAGUGGUGGCCAAACUUCCUAUUUCAGCCAUAGGGGAGAUUUCGAAAAGAGCCACUACAAAAAGGAAGAUUUCACUGGACCACCACCGUCUCCAGGGAGAUCGGUACUCGGUCGUCGUCAAUAUUCAAGGAGAUCCGAAACAGAUCUUGGUUGCUCACAACCAAUUCUUAGCGAUUAAGCUUUCCGAUCGGUGGUCGAAGCAGCAGCGAACUUCUAACCCCUACAUUGUCGAGAUUGCUGACUGUGAUGAUGUUGAAGUUUACAUUGAGGCUCUAAGUUUGAUGUAUUGUAAGGAUUUAAGGAAGAAGCUCAUGAAGGAAGAUGUCACUAGAGUACUUGGAAUCUUGAAGGCAUUUGCUUUUAGUUCGACUGUGAAAGCGAAGCGAUUGCAAUCGCGUGCUUCGGAGAAAGAGCAGUGGAGGCUUUAUGUACCGACGAUUGACCGGUCUAUCGGAGAACCGGCACCGUAUGUUGUGGUGGUGCAGGGUCCUCCCCAGGUUGGAAAGUCUCUUCUGAUAAAGUGUCUUGUGAAGCAUUACACCAAGCAUAAUCUACCAGAUGAUUGAGGACCCAUUACUAUUGUGUCAGGGAAGCAAAGGCACAAUUUGUGGAGUGCCCAAAUGAUAUUAAUGGUAUGAUUGAUGCUGCAAAGUUUGCUGAUCUAGCUCUGCUUCUCAUU